CGUACCGCAAACCGACACAGGUAGAUGAGGAGAGAAUCCUAAGGCCGGCGGAAGAAUUACUGCUAAGGAACUCGGCAAAUUGACCCCGUAACUUAGGGAGAAGGGGUGCCUACGAGAGUAGGCCGCAGUGAACAGGCCCAAGCAACUGUUUAUCAAAAACACAGGUCUCUGCUAAAGCGUAAGCUGAUGUAUAGGGGCUGACGCCUGCCCGGUGCUGGAAGGUUAAGGGGAAUGGUUAGUCUUCGGGCGAAGCCAUGAACUUAAGCCCCAGUAAACGGCGGCCGUAACUAUAACGGUCCUAAGGUAGCGAAAUUCCUUGUCGGGUAAGUUCCGACCCGCACGAAUGGCGUAAUGAUUUGGGCACUGUCUCGGCAGUAAAUCCGGUGAAAUUGAAGUGUGAGUGAAGAUGCUCACUACCCGCGGUUGGACGGAAAGACCCCGUAGAGCUUUACUGUAGCUUAGCAUUGAAUUUCGGUAUUGUCUGUACAGGAUAGGUGGGAGACUUGGAAACAGGGGCGUCAGCUUCUGUGGAGUCAACCUUGGGAUACCACCCUGACAGUAUUGGAAUUCUAACUGGCGGCCAUGAAUCUGGUCACAGGACAUUGCUAGGUGGGCAGUUUGACUGGGGCGG
rnacentral:rRNA from 1 species